rnacentral:rRNA from 1 species
AGCCUGAUGCAGCCAUGCCGCGUGUGUGAAGAAGGCCUUCGGGUUGUAAAGCACUUUCAGUCAGGAGGAAAGGUUAGUAGUUAAUACCUGCUAGCUGUGACGUUACUGACAGAAGAAGCACCGGCUAACUCCGUGCCAGCAGCCGCGGUAAUACGGAGGGUGCGAGCGUUAAUCGGAAUUACUGGGCGUAAAGCGUACGCAGGCGGUUUGUUAAGCGAGAUGUGAAAGCCCCGGGCUCAACCUGGGAACUGCAUUUCGAACUGGCAAACUAGAGUGUGAUAGAGGGUGGUAGAAUUUCAGGUGUAGCGGUGAAAUGCGUAGAGAUCUGAAGGAAUACCGAUGGCGAAGGCAGCCACCUGGGUCAACACUGACGCUCAUGUACGAAAGCGUGGGGAGCAAACAGGAUUAGAUACCCUGGUAGUCGACGGGCGUAAACGAUGUCUACUAGAAGCUCGGAACCUCGGUUCUGUUUUUCAAAGCUAACGCAUUAAGUAGACCGCCUGGG